UACGGAAGGUGCGAGCGUUAAUCGGAAUUACUGGGCGUAAAGCGCACGUAGGUGGUUUUAUAAGUCGGAUGUGAAAGCCCGGGGCUUAACCUGGGAAUUGCAUCCGAGACUGUCUGACUUGAGUAUGCUAGAGGGAAGUGGAAUUCCAGGUGUAGCGGUGAAAUGCGUAGAUAUCUGGAGGAACACCAAUGGCGAAGGCAACUUCCUGGGGCAAUACUGACACUGAUGUGCGAAAGCGUGGGGAGCAAACAGG
rnacentral:rRNA from 1 species